UCCUGGAAGUCAGCACUUCAGUGGGUCUGGUUGACUUCUCGGUUCGGUGUCUCAGGAGGCAGAAACGCCAGUGUAGGCGGGGCUGCUCCACUAUUUAUGGGAGAAUCCAUCUUCAAGCUCAUCCAGACGGUUGGCAGAACCCAGCUGCACAGGCUGUAGGACGCACGUCCACGUCCUUGCUGGCUGCUGACCAGGGCUCUUCCGCUUCUGCAGGCGCCCUUGUUGCUGUUUGCGGAGCCAGCAACAGCAGUCGCGUCCGCCCCGUGCUCCUGUCUUACCCCACCCUUCUCCUCGGCUGCAGCUCUGAUUCCAGCUGGAGAGACGUCUCUACUUUUAAAGACUCGGGAGAUUAGAUUGCGUCCACCUGGCUAAUCCAGGCUAUGCUCCCUGUUUUAGGUCGGAUAACCAUACUUAUUACAUCUAUGCUCUGCCUUCCCAUCCACAGUCGAGUGAGUGUUUGAUGGAAUCACCAGGUGUUGGAAAUCUCCGGGGUCAUCUUUAGAAUUCUGCCUUUCGGAGGGUUGGAAUCCUCUAAGAAAAGGUCCUCAAGUAGUUGAGACUCUUAAUGAAGUACCUGGGAAUGAAAUGGCAUGAAGCGUUGGGCCUACUUGGAAAUACUUCAGAACAGGAAAAACAGCCAAAGCAAAUAUGGGUAAAUAUCUGUGAUUCUCAGAUCUGAGUGGCAAGUAAAUCAGACUUCAUCGUGGGAUUCUCUCUGCUUUCAUGUGAGCUUGGAAAUUCUCAUCAUGAAAUAUUUAAAAAGAAGACAAUAAUCACCUUGCUAUUAAGUGACCUCAAGGAUCAGUUCCAGGAAAGUGAUGAGGGAAGAGAACAGGCUGCAAAAGGACUCUGGUCACUCAUCUUUGGAAAACCUCUGAUCCAGCCCUAUCCUCAUAUUUUCCAACAAAGAAUAUAUGGCCAAGAGAGGGUAAGUGACUUGCCCAAGAUCACACAGCUGUUUGGAGACAAGAGCCAGUCUGGGUCUUUCUCUCUUUCCCACCUGCCUCUCUGCCAUGUCCCUUGGGUUUAGAUACAACUAUGGCCCCCUCACCUCCCCAAGUGUCACUGGAGAUUCAGAAAGCUGAGUUAUAUAUACACAGACAAACUUUAUCCUAGUAAGUCAUUUGGUUCUGAACCUUUGGCCAUACAACCCAAAUGGGUGGACUUAUUCAGCCCCUUCACGGCAUGGCCUGACCUCAGACAGACCCCAAAGCAUCUCGGGAGUGAAGCUGCAGAGGCUCCACCGCCCACAGCAUCUUGCCCGGCCUCCUCCACACAGCAUCCUAACAAGCAGCUAUGUGACCGAAUUCACUGCUCAUCCCUACCUUUGGUCUCAGCUCACACCAUUCCUCCUGCCUGGCCUUUUUCCUCCCCAAGGCUGUCUCUCCUCUCAGUCCCCACCUCUCCGCAGGUGGUUCUGCCAACCUGGCUAACGGUCACCUCUCUGCUCUGAUCCUCCACACCCUGCUGCCUGGGCCACUCACCUGGUUCCAGGCAUCUGGGUUCUGUUAUGCUAUUGAUACUCUCCUGUGUGAGUCUCACCACUCUAACCAGAUUUAGGAGACUUAAGGCAGGGUCCAUCGCUUACAGCUCUGUAUUCACAAGGCCUUGCUCAAUAGACCACCGUGGAGAAGAAUCAUUUAAUGGGCUUGAGGGAUGGAGGCAGCAAGAUGAAGUCAAGAGAAACAAAGGGGGAGAAAGAAGAAAGGGGUAGGAAAGAGAAGGAUGUAAGAGGAAGGAGGGAAGGGGGUGGUUGUAGAGAUGACUGAGAACGGAGAUGGGGUCUUUAAAGAGUUAAAUGAGCUAAAAUGAGGUCAUCAGGGUGGACUGUAAUCCAAUAUGACCGAUGUCAUUAUAAAAAGAGAUCAGAAUACACACACACUGGGAAAAUGACGAGAAGACACAGGGAGAAGACGGACAUCUAAGAGCCAGGGAAAGGAGCCUCAGAAGAAACCAGCUCUGCAGCACCUUGACGUUGGACAUCUAGCCUCCAGAAUUGUGAGAAAAUUAUAUUUGUUGUUUAAGACACCCAGU